CAAUAGCGUAUAUUAAAGUUGUUGCAGUUAAAAAGCUCGUAGUUGGAUUUCUGGUCGGAAGCUCCUGUCCUCUGAUGAGCGUACAAGUGCGUCCUACCAUCCUUCUGUUAACCUUUAAGGCUUUCGCGGCUUUCUAGGGGCUCAGAUAUUUUACCUUGAGAAAAUUAGAGUGUUUCAGGCAGGCUAGCGCCGGAAUACAUUAGCAUGGAAUAAUGGAAUAGGACUUUUGCCUCUUCUGUUGGUCAUGAGGCUCGAGUAAUGAUUAAUAGGGAUAGUUGGGGGCAUUAGUACUUAACUGUCAGAGGCGAAAUUCUCGGAUUUGUUAAAGACUAACUUAUGCGAAAGCAUUUGCCAAGGAUGUUUUCAUUA
rnacentral:rRNA from 1 species